rnacentral:rRNA from 1 species
ACUCCUACGGGAGGCAGCAGUGGGGAAGUAUUGCACAAUGGGCAGGCAAGCCUGAUGCAGCCAUGCCGCGUGUAUGAAGAAGGCCUUCGGGUUGUAAAGUACUUUCAGCAGUGAGGAAGGUGGAGUCGUUAAUAGCGGCCUCAUUUGACGUUAGCUGCAGAAGAAGCACCGGCUAACUCCGUGCCAGCAGCCGCGGUAAUACGGAGGGUGCGAGCGUUAAUCGGAAUUACUGGGCGUAAAGCGCAUGCAGGUGG